ensembl:lncRNA YEATS2-AS1 YEATS2 antisense RNA 1
UAAUAUAUGCAACGCUUGGCCCUCGUGUCUGACAUGUAAUGGACACUGUUAUCUUUAAUUGCAAAGCUAAUAUUUAUUCAACCCUGUAAUAAAACAGAGUCCUAGGUGUCUGUGAAGUAAUGAGGAGGAUAUAAACCUCUGAGCAAAGCUGAGUGAGCUUUCACAACCAUGAGGUUCUCUAAAAAUGACAAAGCAGACCCUUGAGCUCAUCUGGCUCUAAGAGUGUCCUAAGCACUCACUCCAUCUCCUACUGGAUUGAUGUAAGUAUAAAACACCUUCAUGGGCAAUUCAACUGUUAGGAAAGAGGUGUAAGCCUCACACCACAGACUGCAGAGAUAGUAAUACCUGUUGUGAGAAGCUGUCUGGUAUCCAACUGCCAAAGCCUGUCUCAGGAUAUCAUUCACCAGCUGUUCUGUAGCCUACAAUGGAAGAUGCUGUUAUUCUUCAAAUGGCCAUCUGCUUGCUGGCAAGAAGGGACACAUUUAACCCCAUCCCUUACCCCAAAUGUUUGAAACCACUGCAACUAGGGAUUAAAAAGUCCUUAAGAAAAAAUUAAAGGCCUCAAUAAUAGACCAUAAUGAUAAAGGCCAUGAUUCUGAGAAAUUAUGAAUUGGAGUGAUUUUCAUUAAUCAGACAUUAUUCUAUUUAUUUAUUUAUUUUGAGAUGGAGUCUCACUCUCGCGCCCAGGCUGGAGCGCAGUGGCGCGAUCUUGGCUCAGUGCAACCUCCGCCUCCCGGGUUCAAGCGAUUCUCCUGCCUCAGCCUCCCAAGUAGCUGGGAUUACCAGGCACCCACCUUCAGGAUCAUGUCCUCCACCACGGACGCAUACACGUUCCUGUGGAGUGCCACGGGCUGCAGGGUGAUCCCAAUCUGGAAAAGCAGAAGAAAGCCGUUUGUUCGUAUCGCUGCUUUAGAAACAGCCUCUCUCCAAACAAGCAUACCUCCCUGACAUGCAAAGCGAUGCCUGGUUGGAAGGAGGACUCUGCAAACAUAUUGGGCAAAAUUCACGGGAAAGGAACACGGAAUAUAACAUCUAGAAGAAUGUUAUCUUGUUUUUCCACAUUUCUGGCUGAUAUUUAAAAUAUGACUAUAAUCCUAUUAAAAUCUCUCAAAUCUCCUUCGUGGGAGAACAUGGUUGGGAUCUGCCUGGGUUCUGAUACGCAAUCAACACUUUGAAAGGUCUGGAAUCAGACUCCAACGUCCUGUUUGCACUUGGAAACUGCAUCUUGCCCAUUCUUCAUGGCAUCCAAUGAAAGCACACUGUCUUUCACCUUGGGCCCUGAGCAACUGGCAGAUGCUGAAGAGCUGUUAGGCUCCAGCAGGGUGGAUAAAUACCUCUCUCCUGUAUAGUAAGGCAGGUGCACGCCAUCUGCACCACAGGCGGGGCACUCAGGAGCUAUCAACACAUCAGGGGAGGAUUACGCGCUGACGUGCAACUCAGAAAGAGUACGACGUGCCUCAUGAGGGAAAGGUGCUUCUACUGAGGCAGAUGAGAAAAACAAGAUGAAGAGUAAUCAACCAUUUCUAUCUAGCCAGCUUUGCUUCACGUCUGCGUUCAACAAGCAAUGUUUUCACAUGUAAUUAGCAUUUCUGCCCAAGGGCUCUGAUGUGGGACGGUGGGAGCCCUGAGAGCACACCUGGGUCAACCAGGCAGAAGGAAGUCAAGCAUCUACGGCACCAGAAGAGUCUGGGUCUGAGUCUGUGUCUGUGAGGCUGAACACCUGGGUCUGGGUCUGUGAAGCUGAACGUCUGAACAUCUAGCUCUGAGCUGGUCUGCUGCAUGAACUAUUAACACCACAACCCCUACCUUCUGUGUGACAUCCCCAAUAAAUUCAGACCCUGGGGUUGGUGGCAGGUAGAACUUGACUUCCUCUUGUUUCUCUUCCUGCUCCUUCUUGAUGUUUAUCUUCACUGGCUCGGAGAGGCUGAGGAUGUCCACCUCCUCCUCAUUCUCGGGUUCCCUUUUCUGGAACUGUUGCAGGUCCUCCAGUUUGCGGCAGAGGUUGUCAGCAGAGGAGAAUGAUGAUGGGCACUCUAAAUGACAGGCAAGCAGUGUUACAACAGCUGUGGGGCCAACGGAAGAGGACUUUCCGUCUCCAAGAGACCCAUGGUCUGAGGAAGGGGGAUAAGCAUCAGGGGAGCUGACCUUCUUUCCAGUUCUAACAUUCUAUGGAUCUAUAAUGAUGAGAACUAGUAAUUCACGAGGGAGAAAGGCAUAAACACAGGCAUCUUGUGUGUGAUCUAUGUAAGGUAACUGCCAUCUAAGAUGAAAGAGUAGGAAUUCUCACUUCUGCCACCAAAAACCAGGUCAUCCCCCUCCCUCUGAGUAUUAAGGACUGACCUGAUUUUUCCUCAUCUCAAAUCUGGAAAAUUUAGAAAUGCAGAGUGAAGAAAAUAAAAAGAAUCACCCCUAUUCUCACUGCUCAGAGAGCAGGACUGUUAA